GAACUGCGAUAAGCAAUGCGAAUUGCAGAAUUCCGCGAGACAUUAGAUCUUUGAACGCACUCUGCGCUAAAGGGAAACUCCCUUUAGCAUGUUUGUCUCAGUGUAACCGAUUUUAUAUAUCUAAAUAUGAUUGAUUGAUUUUUAUUAAUCUAUCUCUCAUUAAAUCUGAAUAUUAUAUAAUAUUCAAUUCCAAUGAAGUGGUCGCUUUAUGCGAUUUCAUUGGAGACAUAUAUUGAUAUUAGAAUAAUAUAGAUUAUUUUAAAACAAAAAAAUACAAAAAUCUAUUUACCUGAGAUCAAACAAGGAUACCCGCUGGAGUUAA
rnacentral:misc_RNA from 1 species